AGCUAUCUGGAUGGCCGGCCAACAAUUCACAGUGUCGUCAUUGUGUCGCAGGGGUUAGAUGAUGCCAGCGCUUACGAUACCUUAUGCUAAGAUGAUUAUGCUGACUCGUCAUUGGUAAAAUCCAUAUAAGUUGGUGGCCAGGCCUCCCCUGAAUCCUUGUCAGAAACUGUAAUCCAGAGCAAAAGUAGAGGAAUACUGCCUCCUUCCCUGUUCCUUGUUGCAUCAAGCGACUGAAUCGCUCAAUUGCGCUGCUUCUGUGUGUUCAUUUCUCUGAUAAUUCCAAGACCCGGAGCUGGAUUUCUCUAAUCAUUCCUGUUCUCUUGGUCGCACCUCGUGGCAAUGAGACAGAGUGCUGCUAGUUCUUCGGACCGCCAUAACCUGUCGCUGCUGCGUGUUUUCGGUCAGCUUCUUCUCUCCCUACCAGCAGAAAGAUUUCACAAGAAUUUGUUGUGUGGCGUGCAACGUUGCAGUGAAAUUUCCCUAUUACAAAGAUGCCAACCACGGGUUUGUUCUUAUGGAGGGAAAAAAACGUCCUCCAAAAUUGUUGCUUUAAAUUUUUUUUCAAAGUUAUAACCAAUAAUCAGCAUAUUCACCUGCUUCUAAAAUAGGCCAAGGAAAGUGGGUCCUGAAGAGGGUCUGCACCGGAUAGCAGUCCAUCAUCCCAAUCCAAGGCACAAUCCUUCCACCACCGCGAUUCCAGUCCCAAACACACAAAUCUGUUGGAAAAUUCGUCCUGGUGGCUGAUCGAGCCAAAGGAAGAGGCACACAACGAGGAAAUGGCAAGUGAAGGUCAGAGCCUGAGAGCUGCUGGAGCCAGUAACCACAUGACAUUUUCACUAUGCCUGAUCACGGCUUACCUCCUGAACAUAACCACCAUGCCACCUGCCGCAGAGCAAGGCGGCCACAUCGUUAUCUGGUUUAAUCUGGCCAUCGGAUAUCUGCUGGCGAUGGCGGCAGUGUUCUCAACCAACGUGAAAACAAAGGCAGCAGUAGCGAAAAUGAGUGGUUUCUCAGCCUUGCUUUCCAUGGUCUUGGUGAUGAUGGGAGAACUCAGCCGCACACCUCCAUAGGUGCUUAAUGUUCAGGCAUGUAACUGGGUUCAGUGACAGUUCUUGCAGAAGGAAUCCUUCAGCAAAAUGGCCAAUACAUGUAUGUACAAACUACAAAACUAGUUUGGGUUUGUAUCAUAUAUUUACAUUAAGCAGUAUUGCUAUAUGGUUCAGUAUGUAUAAUAAGUUGUAAAAUUUGCUGGAUAAUAGACGCUUUGUAACUUAUGUGGCAUUUGUUUGCUCAGAAAUAAAACUGACAAGAACCUGAAGAAUACCUGAUA